rnacentral:lncRNA from 1 species
AGAUAUUUAUGCAAUCAACUGCAUGGGGUGCUUCAGUUUGUGAUGUUUUGGGUGGUUUGGGUAAACACGGUGAUCGAGAACAGAAUUAUUGUAAGGCAGAGCCAGCCAUUACAUACAAACAAAAAAUACAAACAUGCAAGAACCUUUCCAAUAAAGAAUGUAGAAAAAAGCAAACAGUAGACUUUCUAAUUCAAUGUAAAAUUAAUGGAGUAUUUCUGAAGACAAUUUUUAAUGUUAAAUUAUAAGUAAAUUCUAAGAAAUUACUUCAAAAAAUGAAGAGAUUCUGCUUAGGAAUAGCUCUAUCAGAUGUAAAAAGAAAAUUAUU